UACGUAGGUGGCAAGCGUUAUCCGGAAUUAUUGGGCGUAAAGCGCGCGCAGGCGGUCCUUUAAGUCUGAUGUGAAAGCCCACGGCUCAACCGUGGAGGGUCAUUGGAAACUGGGGACUUGAGUGCAGAAGAGGAAAGCGGAAUUCCACGUGUAGCGGUGAAUGCGUAGAGAUGUGGAGGAACACCAGUGGCGAAGGCGGCUCUCUGGGACGUAACUGACGCUGAGACGCGAAAGCGUGGGGAGCAAACAGG
rnacentral:rRNA from 1 species